UACGUAGGGUGCAAGCGUUGUCCGGAAUUAUUGGGCGUAAAGAGCUCGUAGGCGGUCUGUCGCGUCGGCUGUGAAAACCCGGAGCUCAACUCCGGGCCUGCAGUCGAUACGGGCAAACUGGAGUACUGCAGGGGAGACUGGAAUUCCUGGUGUAGCGGUGAAAUGCGCAGAUAUCAGGAGGAACACCGGUGGCGAAGGCGGGUCUCUGGGCCGAUAACUG
rnacentral:rRNA from 1 species